rnacentral:ncRNA from 1 species
AUAAAGUUGAAGGAUUAGUAAUUAAAUUUUUACGAUUCAGAGAGUGUACGGUUGCUGAGAGUACAACGUAAAAUUAAUGAAUGCACCUUCGUAUACUUAACUAAAUAUAUAAUGAGAGUAAUUGGUAUUUUAAAGAAGAUGUUUGCAAACAUUGCAACUUUGUUAAUCUUUUAAGGUGCCGUUUACUGAAUUCAGAGUGGAACCGUGCGGAAGCGCCUCUAAC